UAGACUCUAAGACCUAUACACACAACAAUCAACCGAUAACACCGGAGACCCUAUACAAUCCGCCGUUUCCUAAUCAAAGAGAACGGAUUCUGGGCUUCUCCUUUUCAUUUUUCAAGAGGUAGCUUCAUCUUCAAAAAAGAGAAAACAAAAAAUAAGGGCAGCCAUUUUUUUUAACCUUAGAGACCAAACGUUAAAGACCAAAAAAAAAGUUUAAGCACAAAAGGCAUAGUUGAUGCUUUCUUCGUCUUCCUCCUCCAGCAGCUCGCUGGAAAAAUGAGCUCCAGCAGCUCGUCGGAUUAAUGAGCUCCAGCCGAGCAACAACGAAACAGGACACCCAAAAAAACAGUUCACCCACUGAACCUCUGCGACACCGACCAGCUACGAUCACAACGACCUCAUUCCUUGCUUUUCCUCACUUUGUUUCGCUGUUGAACACUCCGGCGACAGAUCUGGCCAGAUUUUACAUUUUUCUGUGACCUCCAUUAAAACCGAUGGAGUUUCAUUUGAGUCGAGUUUUACCGGUUUGAAGUUCGGUCAAUAGCUCGUUCUGUUUAUUCAUCAGUGCGUGAAAAUCCCGGAUGCCGAUGUUGCUACAUUCGAUGGUUGCUGGAUUUGAAGGUGUACCCGCGUUCCUGUUGUAGCUGCCUCUUGUUCACGGUAGCCUUAGACUAUAAAAUUCUGUUUAUGUACUUCUCAAACAUACUGUGUAAUUGUUCCAUUGUUUCUUUGUAAAGUCCAUUCGUAGAAACUCAUGAUUUGUACUACCAGUCCUUGGGAAAUGUAUAAGAUUUAGAUAAUUCUCUUGUUUAA